AAGCCCUGAGGUGAGUUUUCAUGUUGAAUUGCAAAUUCGAAGAAGCAGCUUCAAUUCUGCCGGGGCUU
rnacentral:tRNA from 1 species